GGCUCCAAGCAUUCUCCAUGUUCCAGAGAACGAUCUUCUCUACCUUGUCUCCGAUCUUGUCUCUGCCGCCUUCUCGGAGCCUCCUGGCGGCUGGUCCUCCCUCCACAAGCUCGCCGUUCUGCUUCUCUUCAAUGUGAACACACCCAAUCACAAUCACAAACCCAAUAACCAUAACAUCAACCAUCCUCAAUAUCACACACCCAGAAUUUACCCAAAAAAAAAUAAAAAAUCUAAUCUUUACCCAAGCCGUCGAUGAACGCACGGCCACCGCCACCAUCAAGGCUGCUUCUCUUCAAUGUUAACAAAGAAAAAUAGUACAAAUCUUUGAAAAUGGAUUGAGGAGGAGGGGAGGAGGUCAGGGGCGGAUCCAAGUACACCUUUAGGAGGACUCAAGCCCACCCGAAGUCCCAGACAACAAAACUUGAGAACCCCCGAGUCCCCGACGAAGACUCUUACACUCCCUCUCAGUCUCUCACGUACUAUACUGCUCUAAGAGAUCAAACCUUAGAUGUUAGACCCAUAGUUUUGUCUUCUACUCUUCUUCUUCAAUUUGGGGCAAUCAAUCAAUUCAAUUGGAUUGAGGAUUGUUCUGUGUGCCAUCGAUGUGAGAGGAAUGAUGACGGUAGAGUUAUUUGCGGUGGAACUUGCUUACGAAAAUGAUACGAGUCAAACGUAUUAUUAGCCAAGGAGUUAUAGAGCAAAGUUCAUUGACAUCUGCCGUAAUAUGAGUCAGACAUCUACUGCUGAUUUUGUUGUUGAUUUUGUUCUUUGGUUUUGUAUAGAUACGUGUUUGAGGGUAAGGCUCACUAUGCCCCUUGACUAGGUGUAUUAUUUUUUUCAAAUAAUAAAAUUCUCUCGCGCCAUCGAAAUU